CUAUAGUUACGUAUGCAUCACAACAUCUCAGCAUGAUGCGGAGAAUGGAAGUGCUUGUCACACGAAAACAUGACAAGCUACCUGUAAUAAUUAACGCAAGAGUGGUCCAGUAAAUUCAUGCUCACCAAAUGUAAAGAAUAAAUAAAAACGAAAACCCACAGAUGAUGGCACAGUGGUGCCGAAACAUGUUUGGGUACUGAGAAAAACGGUGUUUUGCGUAACAGGCGGACCUCAAAUCCCAAAAAUGUUAACUGCAAACACGGCCAAUACAAGGAGCUGCAAACCAAAGAUGGAUAUGACUUUUUCAUUCUACUUUCAAUCAAUUGGGACUUUUUAAAACAGCUUAGUAAUUGAUUCACAGAUCCCGAGGACAGUGUGGCCACAGCAGUUGCCAGAAGGUGUCAUCACAACACCACAGGACAACCUCAUCCAGAUGGAGCCUUUGCCGCCUCUGCCUGCUCUCGUCCUACCAAUGGAGCUGGACCCACAAAUGCCGCAGUAGCCAACGCCUUCUACAUUGUG